AUUUUGACAACGUGUUGACGACCUCAGUCGAACACUUCUUCAAGUUAAUUAAGUUUAUUUUGACUUGUCUCUUGUUUCUAAUACUUGCAAAACUCUUGACUUCAGUUUCUCUUAGUAGAUAAUGUAUGAUAUUGCUCACCUUGGUGAUGUAGUCAUCUGGUUAAACCUCAUCAAAUGGAAGCUUGAAGGGGAGCUGCACGACGUCGAGGCCCAGAAGAAGGCAAUAGUGGAGCUAAGUGAAGGCAGAGGAGGAGUCUUCCAGGAUGAGGUCUGAUCUCUUCGAAGUUCGGGAGAAAGUCAGACAGCUUGAAAGCUGCUUGGUGGUGCAACACAACAUCGUCGAGGUGCAGCGAGAGAAGAUUGCCAAAUUGGAGAAAACCUUAGAGCUCGGCACCGAAGCAAUCCAAGCUGCUAAGGAGAAGGUCAAAUUGGUAGAAGAUUAGGU
rnacentral:lncRNA from 1 species